UUUUAGGGAGACCUACACCCCUCAGGAAUCGAAAAGCGAACAGCUAUAUAGAUACUGAGUUGGUCAUUCCUUAGGUCGGUCGAGAAUUGGUAUAAAGCUUUCAAAGUAUUAAUGGUUCAGAAUAUCAAACAGAAUUAAAACUAGUGAGAGUUCAGCAACAUGACUUAACUGAAGUCAGACUGCUGAGUUAAUUCUCAGCCAGAACCUUGAAAACUGCAUAGUAACGCGAAAGAAAGCAGGCAGACAGGGACAUUCCGAAUGGAUGUUUUUGUGAAUGCAAAAGUUGAAACACCAAAUGAAUUGAGU
rnacentral:misc_RNA from 1 species